AGAUUUUAUAAUGAAGAAAAUAAUAAGAUCUGAGAGCUACGGAGAAAAAGGGUUGGCUUCUGAUUGGUUCUGAUUCGACAAGUGCUCUCUCUGGAUACGCAGACGAAUUAGCGGAGACAACGCCCAGAUUUAAAGACUAAUUGUAAAUAUAUACCUCUUCUAAAUAACCCGGAAUAAUAUUAGUUGAUUAAUUAAUUAAAUGGAAAUGUCUCAUUCUGAGCGAAAUAGUUAUAUUUUACGGUAUUUAUGAAAAAAAAUGGCAGACAACAUUUUGGAAAUGGCAGGACUAGGGUAAUUCUGUGAUUAUUGAUUCAUAAAUAAUAUUGCUAAAAUCAUUUUCCAUUGCCACAAACUAUUUUUAAGGUCAAAGACGACUUUGAAGUCAUCAGUAAAUAUGUAUUAUUCCAGGUUUAUUCAUGAGAGGAUAAUUAAUAAUUAUAACUAUUAAUAAUUUUGACUAAACAAAUAAUUCCAGAAAUUUUAAAUGUACAAAUUUAAUAGAUUUUGCGCAAUAUACAAUUUCUGGCUUCACAUAAGAACUAUGUCUAAGUCUGUUUUUCCUAAUACCAAGUCUACCUAAAACUCGAAUCUUUACUAAAGCCGGGGUUUACUCGUGUUUAAAAUGUUAAAGGCUGUCAUAUCAUAGUUCAAACUGUAUUUGAUCUUUGUCGAGGUUGAACAUAAUCUUAUGAUUAUAAUAAACACUUCUAGGAGAACUAUUAUAUAUUUAUUAAAUAAAUCUGUAGGAAAUCUACCAACAUGAGUAGGAA